rnacentral:rRNA from 1 species
GACGAACGCUGGCGGUAUGCCUAACACAUGCAAGUCGUACGAGAUCCCCCUUUCCUCGGAAAGGAAGAUUGCAGUGGCGGACGGGUGAGUAACGCGUAAGAACUUACCUUUUGGUGGGGGAUAACAGCGGGAAACUGCUGCUAAUACCCCAUAAUGCUGAGGAGCUAAAAGAUAAAACUGCCAAGAGAGAGGCUUGCGUCUGAUUAGCUAGUUGGUGGGGUAAUGGCCUCCCAAGGCGACGAUCAGUAGCUGGUCUGAGAGGAUGAUCAGCCACACUGGGACUGAGACACGGCCCAGACUCCUACGGGUGGCUG